rnacentral:rRNA from 1 species
UAACAGGAUUAGAUACCCUGGUAGUCCACGCUGUAAACGGUGGGUACUAGGUGUGGGGUCCAUUCCACGGGUUCCGUGCCGUAGCUAACGCUUUAAGUACCCCGCCUGGGGAGUACGGCCGCAAGGCUAAAACUCAAAGGAAUUGACGGGGCCCCGCACAAGCGGCGGAGCAUGCGGAUUAAUUCGAUGCAACGCGUAGAACCUUACCUGGGUUUGACAUGGAUCGGGAGCGCUCAGAGAUGGGUGUGCCUCUUUUGGGGUCGGUUCACAGGUGGUGCAUGGCUGUCGUCAGCUCGUGUCGUGAGAUGUUGGGUUAAGUCCCGCAACGAGCGCAACCCUUGUUCACUGUUGCCAGCACGUUAUGGCGGGGACUCAGUGGAGACCGCCGGGGUCAACUCGGAGGAAGGUGGGGAUGAC